AAGCAAAAUAAUCUCAGUUGGAUAGCAGUCAGCGUUUUGUUUUUAGUAGAACUUUAUUUCCAGUAUGUUUAAGAAAUUUUUCUUUGUCCUUGCUAUGUAACAUUCUUUAUCUCAUCCACAUUUCACUUUUUUCUCUUUGCAGAUACCUUCCGCAUUUGUGUUCGGGCGAAAAACAAAAUAAUCUCAGUUGGAUAGCAGUCAGCGUUUUGUUUUAGUAGAACUUCAUUCCAGUAUGUUUAAGAAAUUUUUCUUUAUCCUUGCUAUGUGACUUUCUUUAUCUCAUCCACAUUUGGAUUUUUUUUUCCCCUUUGCAGAUACCUUCUGUAUUUGAGUUUGGGAGAAAACAAAAAACAAAAAAAUCUCUCCGUUACUAGCAGUCAUCAUUCUGUUUUAAUAGAACUUCUUUUUCAGUACAUAAGAUAUCUUCUACCGUACUGAUAAAGAUACCUUCUGUAUUUGUGUUUCGGGAAAAGACAAAAAAACAAAAAAAUCUCCCAAUUGGAGACAUUGUCUUUAGCAAAACUUCAUUCCCAAUACAUUAGAUCUCUUCUACAUUACUGGUAAAGGAACAAAUAAACAAAAGAAGAAAGAAGAGAGCAACCAUACUGAACGAAAAGACUGAUCAGUACAAAGAUUGAAAAAAGAAGCAAGGUUGACGAGCAAAUGGCCUUAGAAAGUGUGGGAUUAAUUACAGAGGCAGUUGUGAACUACAUAGUCAAACCAAUUGGACGACAACUUGGUUAUCUGAUGUGUUACAGGAGCAACAUUCAGAAUUUGAAAAAUGAAGUGGAGAAGUUGGGUCAGCUUAGAGCAGAUGUGAAGCAAUCGAAGAAGGAGAA